GUGCUUGAACCUAAAGAUAAGCUUCAUUCACCAGCUAAAAACACAAGUAUGAAACCGUGCCAUCUAGUGGUGAAGGGUGGUAAAGGGAAAAUGAAAUGAAGCGAGAUUGGGUGCUUCUCAAUAUCCAUCCUUGUCUCCUCGCUCCUCUAUCCUCCAUCCUAUGACCCGGAAACCGAUCGAGCUCAGCCAUAUUGAAGGACAUCUCAAUUCUCUAAUUGCACCCGGAGGAGUCGAGGAUCGAGGAGGGAGGAGGCUUCCUGAGGAGUCAUGAGCGAGGAUACAAGGGUGUAUCCUAUGCGGAAGUUGUUUAUUGCCUAAACGUGUCGCACGUAUAAAUUCUCCUCCCACUUCACAUCUGCUCCAAGUGCUUACCAUGGCAGAACAUUCAAACACACAUAAAUGGACUGAUGAGGAGACUGAACAGUUAAUUAAAUUGAGGAUGGAGCUGGAUUCCGACUUCACUGGGAAGAGGAACAGUGCCAAAAAAGCCUGGAUGAGCUCCGCUGUCCUCCUACGGGAACGGAAACAGAUAGUGGGGAGGCCACAGCAGCCACAUGGCCGUGGUUUUCUGCGAUGCAUGAGGCUAUUGGGAGGAGGCCGUCUAUUGAGCCUCCCAUUCUGAUAGACUCAUGCGACGCAGAAGUCACUGGCAGUUCUGCUGUGUCCAAUGAGCCUGGCUUGUCACCAUCUGCAUCUGUGGAGGAAAGAGAGGAGGACUCCACAACCUCCGCGCUGUCUGGCACAGGCAACUUUAACAAGGAAAGACCCUGUACUUCUUCGGGUCCUCCGCCACCUAAAAAGAAAAGAACCAACAGAGUGCUAGAUUUUCUAGAAACGGAGACAGAAAAGGAGG